GACGAACCGUGCGAACGUUGUUCGGAAUCACUGGGCUUAAAGGGCGCGUAGGCGGGCCAUCAAGUCCGGGGUGAAAUCUUUCGGCUCAACCGGAAAAGUGCCUUGGAUACUGGUGGUCUUGAGUGAGGUAGGGGCAUGUGGAACUUCCGGUGGAGCGGUGAAAUGCGUUGAUAUCGGAAGGAACUCCGGUGGCGAAAGCGACGUGCUGGACUUCUUCUGACGCUGAGGCGCGAAAGCUAGGGGAGCGAACGGG
rnacentral:rRNA from 1 species